rfam:Pan troglodytes isolate Yerkes chimp pedigree #C0471 (Clint) chromosome 7, whole genome shotgun sequence.
GCUGGGCGUGGUGGCUCACGCCUGUAAUCCCAGCACUUUGGGAGGCCGAGGUGGGAGGAUCACCAGAGGUCAGGAGUUUGAGACCAGCCUGGCCAACAUGGUGAAACCCCAUCUCUA